AUGUCAAUUACGGGCCGACGAAACAACACAAGCGGGACCUUUCAAAAGUACUGGAUGGAUUUCACUGCAGCUAUCACUCAAUUGACGACCAAUCAGUAUCAGGACCAAGACAGCACCAUGCCUCUCGAGCAGAACCUCCUACCCUGCUUGUCCAUCCUCAAUCUUCAUUCUUCCUACUGUGCACACCUUUCUAGAUACAGAGGCAGUUUUCAGAAGGAGGGUUGAUGUCACCACUAACAUUUUGCACACAGUGAUGUAAGAGAUUCUUCCUACUCAGAGUCGUAAUUGGGUUGAUGAUCUACAUGAUGGUGAUGAACCAGGACAGCUCCGGACCCCCUGUCAGGCAGCUCCAUCCUCAACCACACAUGUGCAGGUACAGAGGCAGUUUUCAGAAGGGUUGAUGUCACCGACAACAUUUUGUGAAGGAGAGUUCCACCUACGGUUCGACCUAUGACACCAGCAACUUUGGAUCUGAACCUGAUCAACCCAGCACCAACCACUGUGCCUCUCCUCCUCAGCCAACUGCACCACAUGACUCCACCAUAUCCAAAAGGUGCAGACACCUGCGAAGGAUAAGAAGAGCCGACCUCCCCACAUCUGCACUCGCCACUUUCUACAGGGGUGCCUUUGAGAGCAUCCUCAUCAGCAGCUUCUCUGUCUGGCAUGACAGCCAUCUAGCUGAAGACUACAAGGCGCUGCAUAGGGUGGUGAGGACGGCAGAAAAGAUCAUAAGAUCACCCCUACCAGCCAUUCAGGACCUGUACACUUCACACUGUUCCAAGAGGGCAGUCAACAUCAUCACAGAAACACCUCACCCACCACACAUUUAUUGUAUGAAUCAGUCUGUAUUUUUCACUGCUUGUGUGAGUGAAUGUGGCAAAGAAAGAGUUAGUUUACUCCAUGUUGUGUGUG